rnacentral:rRNA from 1 species
GAUCCUGGCUCAGGAUGAACGCUAGCUACAGGCUUAACACAUGCAAGUCGAGGGGCAGCAUGACCUAGCAAUAGGUUGAUGGCGACCGGCGCACGGGUGAGUAACACGUAUCCAACCUACCGGUUAUUCCGGGAUAGCCUUUCGAAAGAAAGAUUAAUACCGGAUAGUAUAACGAGAAGGCAUCUUCUUGUUAUUAAAGAAUUUCGAUAACCGAUGGGGAUGCGUUCCAUUAGUCUGUUGGCGGUAGGACCG